UUUUAAUUUAAGCUAUAUUUUUUCUUAUAUAUAUUAUAUAUAUUUAUAGUCGUUUGGUGGGAAAAACAUGGAAGCUCUACACCUGAGCUUACAAAGCUUGCAAGGCGCUUACUUGGUCUUUGUUGUUCAUCUUCUGGUUGUGAGCGCAAUUGGAGCAUAUUUGAGUUUGUAAGUACUUGAGUAUUUCAGUACUAAUUACAACAGUACAUGU